UAGGGAAUCUUCCACAAUGGACGCAAGUCUGAUGGAGCAACGCCGCGUGAGUGAAGAAGGUCUUCGGAUCGUAAAGCUCUGUUGUUGGUGAAGAAGGAUAGAGGCAGUAACUGGUCUUUAUUUGACGGUAAUCAACCAGAAAGUCACGGCUAACUACGUGCCAGCAGCCGCGGUAACACGUAGGUGGCAAGCGUUGUCCGGAUUUAUUGGGCGUAAAGCGAGCGCAGGCGGAAUGAUAAGUCUGAUGUGAAAGCCACGGCUCAACCGUGGAACUGCAUCGGAAACUGUCAUUCUUGAGUGCAGAAGAGGAGAGUGGAACUCCAUGUGUAGCGGUGGAAUGCGUAGAUAUAUGGAAGAACACCAGUGGCGAAGGCGGCUCUCUGGUCUGCAACUGACGCUGAGGCUCGAAAGCAUGGGUAGCGAACAGGAUUAGAUACCCUGGUAGUCCAUGCCGUAAACGAUGAGCGCUAGGUGUUGGGGACUUUCCGGUUCUCAGUGCCGCAGCAAAUCGCAUUAAGCGCUCCGCCUGGGGAGUACGACCGCAAGGUUGAAAC
rnacentral:rRNA from 1 species